UAGGUAGGUUAGUGGCUUCUCCGGUUCUUUGGUUCUUGGUACCAGACGAUCCAUAUUGUACACCCCUUAGCUGACCGUUAAGUACCGCGGGAUCCUCCGUUUGUGGUACCCUUCAGUGUCUCCCGUUCACGGUUCUUAGCUGUUCGCCGUCAUUCGCUACCUGCGCCGCGGGCAGCCUGUGGACCCGAUGCUGGUCCACGACAGGUAGGACGCGGAGGAAGGUCGGCUCCGGCACGAGAGGAAGCGGCGGUGGACGGCGCGGAAAGCGCUGACCCGGAGGAGGCUGCACGAGACCCUCCGCGAGACGGCUGCGCUGACCCCCCGUGCGCGGCGGCGGCGCCGCGAGCGCCUGACCGCCACGCCGCACGGUACCGCGGCGGAGAUGCGGCUCCAGCGGGCUGAUUCGCGGGACGUCCGCGCGGCCGAGGUCCACUUCCCGUGGAGCGGUGCCGGGGCACGCAGCGUGAGGUAGUUAGAGCACCGGCCGACCGAUCAUCAGAAGCCGCCACCGACGCUCCCUCCAGCAGUAGAACUACUAUAGACCCGUUGUAUACAACCUUUAUCUCGACCUUGAUCUAGUAGGUUAAGUGAAUGGACCGUCGUUAACCGGAGACCAUGAGGUUCACCAGCAAAACCAGUAAGUACGUAAGAGCAACCACUACGUGAUCAGGACAAACCGCCCUAAUUACUGGCACCCGAAGCAAACUUACUGUGUACCUAUCCGGUUUAUUAGACACUUCUUGGAACGUCCUACUCCUAGAGUACCUCUGACGACCUCUAUCCGGGGGACCGUGGUAGAGGAGCACCCCGGGUACGUCGGACGACGUAUCUACUAUUCAAGUAACACUAAGUGCCACCCUAUCCCCACGUACCUUCGGCCGAACCACUAUGUACCGAAGAACUAGAGAGGCUACCUGAAGCUAGACCGUCAACCGCGGCUUACUCCUUAUGACCUGGAAACGGAAGUCGAGCAAGACCGGUGUGGAAUUGAACCUAACCACUAUCCGCGUACCAAGAAAAACCACCAUCUCCUAGUCUUAUACUCCAGGAAUCACUACAGACCGACAAACUAUAACCACUAGUAAACGACGUUACCUUUCUCGUUUUCAUGCUAAACAGAUCAUAAGAACCACUUAACGGAAGAGGGGCCCGACCCGUAAGUCGUUGUAAAGAGAAACCACCGUUCUAGGAACAUAUACCACCCCUCCUGUUUCUUUCUGCCGCCUACCUACUAAAGACCUAGAAUCUAUAUGGUCGAAAUGAAGUCAAACUCAGUCCAUUGUCCUUUUACCGUUUCUCCUACACCUUUUUUGAUUCCUAUCUACCGGUUAGGGGCUUAACGGCCAGGAAGGUACCCCGUACACAUCUAUGAAGACCAAUGACACACAUACAAAAACCACCUUACCAACUACGUGAAAACGUAGGACGUCUUAGGAACCCGAACUCCAAACUACCCGUUGACAUAGUUCACCUCGAACACGACGUAGAGAUCUUAGACAUACUACAAAAGGAUAUUUAUAAAAGAAUCUCUAUUGACAAAUCUAGAUUAUUACGUCAUAACACAUCAAAAAGAACAGUCUUGUGGACCUAUCAUUUAGACUUCUAGAGCGAGUGUCAUAAAUCUACUAGUUCUAGAGAAAUAAAUAUUAAAGUCGACGGUGUUAAACCUGUAACACUACUACGACUUUCUACCAAGAAGGGACAGUUCACGCAUACCCACGUUAUGGACAGUGACUAGAGACUUUCGUUGCCACUACAUCUCGCCCAAAGAGAUGUAUACACAACUUUACAUGUAGGAAAGAGUCUAAGUAUACAAUUGUUUCUUACAGACAGUUAUGGUAGACCCUUUCUAACGAUGAGGGAGACUAGGAAUAAUGAUGAACACUACUGAAGAGUAAUAGCAACACUUUUCUUCCUAAUCAAAUAGUAAAUCAAAUAGUAUUUACUAUUUGAUCUUACUGUAUUAACUAC
rnacentral:rRNA from 1 species